rnacentral:rRNA from 1 species
CAGUAGCCGCGGUAAUACGGAGGGGGCUAGCGUUGUUCGGAAUUACUGGGCGUAAAGCGCACGUAGGCGGCUUUGUAAGUUAGAGGUGAAAGCCCGGAGCUCAACUCCGGAAUUGCCUUUAAGACUGCAGAGCUAGCAGGUGAGAGAGGUGAGUGGAAUUCCGAGUGUAGAGGUGAAAUUCGUAGAUAUUCGGAAGAACACCAGUGGCGAAGGCGGCUCACUGGCUCAUACUGGACGCUGAGGUGCGAAAGCGUGGGGAGCAAACAGGAUUAGAUACCCGCGUAGUCCCUGUCUCUUAUAU